AUGAUAGUGGGAUAAAAAUUUCGAAUUAGGGUUAUGUAUAUGUGACCUUUGGGAUUAUCUGAACAACGUACAAGCUCUCUUCCUCACGGCCGCGACGCCGAUCCUGUUCUUCCCCGAUGAGUCUCCGGCCACCAUAAUCAAGAAAGGGAGCGACAUAUCCUUCUCAAACUCUCUUUGUCUCGAGCUCUCUAUCAUCGACGAUGCUAUCUGCUUGACCCGUCUUUCAAUUACAAAUGUCCUUUACGUAAUAAAAUUCGGUCUCUCAUCUCUGAUUCGGCCGGAGUCGUUCCGACGGUGCUUCAAAACGAGCACCGCAUAUUCAUGCCUAAUUGAAACUCAGUGAGGAAGAGCGCUGUGUGGCGUUGGUAUUGUUCACGGUGAAGAAUAGUGAGGAGGAUUGUUGAGCGUUGCAGAGAAGAUGCGUUGAUGCGUGUUGAAGUUAUGAUGUUGAUAACGAUCUGAAGUGAUGGUGGUGGAGAGGAGGUUCUGAAGGCCAAGAGAGGGAGAAGAAGAUUGAAGAUUUGUGAAGAAGAUGAAGAGUGGAAGGUGGAUGAAUGGGAGUGAAAAGGGAGAAGGUUGACGAAAAAUGGUGGAGGAAGAAAUUGUGGAGGAGCUGAAUGAUGAUGAUGAGUCCGGUUAUAUAGGCUCUUUUGGUGCAGGUGUGGUUUUGUGGACCGGUUCGGUUUGAUGUCGGUUUUACGGGGCUGAUUUGAUAUCAAAUUUAGAAACAUGGGCCAAGUACACUUUGAGAAUUAGAUUGAAGAUUUGAGGUGCUUGAAGACUCUGGAUUGAAGAUUCAACGAGAAUUGGAUAGAAUGGGAGCUUCAAGGGAGAGAUUUAAUAUGGUGGAUUCUUAUCAGAAGCGAAAAUUUGGAGAGUGAAAGAUAAGUUUGUUAUGGAUUCGGUUACAGGGCAAGCUUUGUUUUUUUUUUUGCUGUGGGAUUUACGGUUCAGCCGCGGUUCGGUUUUGUUGAAGUGAGGGUUGCAAGUUUGAUUGUAUGUUGGCUUUGGUUGUGAAUUACAGGGUGGUGCGGUCCAGCGGAAGCUUGGAAUCAUUUUCGAAUAAGUGCAGGGCAUCAUCAAGAAUGUGUUUCACACUGCCAUUUUUGCAGGUGUUGACAAUUUAUUCAAGCGUCCUUCCCUUUCAUAAAUGUACUUUAAGAUACCUUUGAAUGAAAUGUACUUUAACAUGCCAUGAUAGUGUUUGGACGAAUGGAACUUUAAACAAGCUUUUGGUAAUUUUGAAUGAAUUUCGAAUGCACA